UUUGUCUCGCAUAUCUUUCGGUAACAAUUUCAAAUAGUUUUUAGAAUCAAAUGAUCGAUCAUCGAUCGAUCGAUGACGAGUCAUUAUUCGUAAUAAAAAAAAAAUCGAUUUGAGAAACGUAGAAAAAUCUUAUUACCUAGGCGAUGCGUUGCAAAUGAUACAAGCAACUUUUCAUUGAAGAAGAACCUGUGUGAUCGAUUUUUUUAUACUUUUCGAAGUAGCUAUGAUCACGUGAUACUUGACAUUUUUUUAAGGUACCAGUAAUUAACAUUUCAAUGAAUAAAUAUAAAGGAAUCUUGCGUGUAUCAGUAUACAUAUUAUCAAGACAAGAUGAAUAUAAUUAAUCGAAUCGUUUUUAGCAUCUAUGAAUUUUACUGUAUUUUUCAAAACAAUAUAUCCAAUAUAAACGUGAACAUGAUGCAUAUCAGAUUUCUUUCCGAUUGAAGUAACAACGAUUUUAUUAUCUACUCUCGCAUAUUUUUUUUUUUUUUUUUUUUUCUUAACGACACCUUAAAUCAAGAAGAAUGAAGAAAAAAAAUAAAAAGAAUUAAUUCGUUCGUAUAAUAAUGAUUUUCGAUUUCGUAUAACCACAAAAACACACGUACACAUUCGUUUUAAUAAUGAAUGAUAUUCGCAUUAAAUAUAAUUUUAAACGUUGAAACGUGAAGAUAUCGGGAAUUUCAAAAUUUAUGCAUAAUGAAGAAAAGAAAGAAAGAACAAAUAAAGAAAAGAAGAAAAAAGAUCUAUAAUAAAUAAUGAAACCAGUUUUAUCCAAGAAGGAACAUUUGUUUACUAUCGUACUUCGAGAAAUUUCGUGUUUCGUCGAUAUCGCAUAAUAAUCAUUCUGAAAAAUAUCAUUCAAUGCAUCGAAUUUAAGGUAAUCUUGUAUAUAAUGACGUAAUCGUGAAAUAUCUUCUAUAAAUACGAACACUGGGACCAGCCAAACGCCAGAACGUUCUUAUUUCUCAACGACAGAUACAACGACAACGAUUUUGAGAGAAAUUUUGAUUGUUAUUUUUCUAUCAUCUUAAUUCAUCGUAGUUAUAAAAAAAAAGAAAACAAUAGAAACGAAAGAACGAGAAAAAUUAAUAAGGUAAAAUAAAAACGAAACGAAGAAAACAAAUAAAGAAAAGGGUAGAUCUCUUUCGAGAAACACAAGUUAUUAUUUUGUGUGUCACAGGAUAAGAAUGGACAUGCGUUUGUUUACGAUCAUUAGCAUGAUUUUCAUGUGCAUCAUUAUUGAUACGAUCACGGCUCAAGUUACGGAAAAAACUGAUAAUGAGUCUAUGAAAACCAUGAAAUCGUAUCAAGGAUAUCAAUGGCCUGGAGGGCAUCUACUUCAAACACCUGAAAUAAUUACUGUACCAAUUAUACCAUGUCCAUCAGGACAACAACAUGAUUCGCAUGGUAAAUGUAGGAAUGUGGUAUAAUUUUUGGACAAACUUAUUUAUGUAAUAACGAUAACUGGUAUUUUCAAUUAAAUAUAAUAUAGAAUUGAUUGGAAUUAGUUGGAGAAUAUAAUAUAACACGUGUAUUGUUUUUCUCAAAGUUGAGAAGUUUCAAAUACGUGAGAUAAAGCUAGAUUUAUGUAAUUGCGUUAGACGAGUCAAUCAGUCGCAACAACAUAUUUUUAUAAUACUGUAUAUACUUAUAUAUUCAUAUACGUGUUUACGUUAGUAAUGAUAGUUUCGUAAGAAAAUCAAUUUUUUCUUUAAAUUACGCAAUAUUACGUAUUAUCCGAGUUAAUAAUUCUAAUCAUAGCUCGAAACGUUGAUAUCUCGAUUGUAAUGAAAUAAUUUAUUUUAAACGAAUAAACGAUUAAAAAAAUGUAACGAUAUUCGUAUUAUUAAGUGUUUUUUUUUUGUUUUUUCUCUCAACGGAAAAAUAAAAAUAACUCUGAUUAGUGCGUCGGGUAUCGAUUAAAUAAUUAAAGAAAUACUGGAGAAUGAAAUCGUAGACUUAAUAGACUUAUCUGGAUACGUAUGUGUGUUGAUCGAAGGUAAAAAUAUUUUAUGUAUGUGUUCGUUGCGUUAUUAUUAGAUUCGAUAUGAAAAUAAAAGAUGAAUGAGAAUGCAUUUUA